rnacentral:rRNA from 3 species
ACUUAAAUUGAAGAGUUUGAUCAUGGCUCAGAUUGAACGCUGGCGGCAGGCCUAACACAUGCAAGUCGAACGGUAGCACAGAGGAGCUUGCUCCUUGGGUGACGAGUGGCGGACGGGUGAGUAAUGUCUGGGAAACUGCCCGAUGGAGGGGGAUAACUACUGGAAACGGUAGCUAAUACCGCAUAACGUCGCAAGACCAAAGAGGGGGACCUUCGGGCCUCUUGCCAUCGGAUGUGCCCAGAUGGGAUUAGCUAGUAGGUGGGGUAACGGCUCACCUAGGCGACGAUCCCUAGCUGGUCUGAGAGGAUGACCAGCCACACUGGAACUGAGACACGGUCCAGACUCCUACGGGAGGCAGCAGUGGGGAAUAUUGCACAAUGGGCGCAAGCCUGAUGCAGCCAUGCCGCGUGUAUGAAGAAGGCCUUCGGGUUGUAAAGUACUUUCAGCGAGGAGGAAGG